rnacentral:rRNA from 1 species
UACGGAGGGUGCGAACGUUAAUCGGAAUUACUGGGCGUAAAGCGUGCGCAGGCGGUUUUGUAAGUCUGUCGUGAAAUCCCCGGGCUCAACCUGGGAAUGGCGAUGGAGACUGCAAGGCUAGAAUCUGGCAGAGGGGGGUAGAAUUCCACGUGUAGCAGUGAAAUGCGUAGAGAUGUGGAGGAACACCGAUGGCGAAGGCAGCCCCCUGGGUCAAGAUUGACGCUCAUGCACGAAAGCGUGGGGAGCAAACAGG